rnacentral:rRNA from 1 species
GAUGAACGCUAGCUACAGGCUUAACACAUGCAAGUCGAGGGGCGGCACAGAGAUAGCUUGCUAUCUUGGGUGGCGACCGGCGCACGGGUGAGUAACGCGUAUCCAACCUGCCCAUUACUCUGGGAUAGCCUUGCGAAAGUAAGAUUAAUACCGGAUGUUGUUAAAAACCCGCAUGAGUUUUUAACCAAAGAUUUAUUGGUAAUGGAUGGGGAUGCGUGACAUUAGGUAGUUGGUGAGGUAACGGCUCACCAGGCCUACGAUGUCUAGGGGUUCUGAGAGGAAGGUCCCCCACAUUGGAACUGAGACACGGUCCAGACUCCUACGGGAGGCAGCAGUGAGGAAUAUUGGUCAAUGGACGAGAGUCUGAACCAGCCAAGUAGCGUGCAGGAUGACGGCCCUCUGGGUUGUAAACUGCUUUUAGUUGGGAAUAAAAAGAGGGACGUGUCCCUAAUUGUAUGUACCAUCAGAAAAAGGACCGGCUAAUUCCGUGCCAGCCGCCGGUAACAC